rnacentral:rRNA from 1 species
CGCGUAGGCGGGGAUACAAGUCAGAUGUGAAAUCUAUGGGCUUAACCCAUAAACUGCAUUUGAAACUGUAUCUCUUGAGUGUCGGAGAGGUAGACGGAAUUCCUAGUGUAGCGGUGAAAUGCGUAGAUAUCGGGAGGAACACCGGAUGGCGAAGGCGGCUUCCUGGCACACAACUGACGCUCAUGUGCGAAAGCCAGGGCAGCGAACG